AAUUAUUUAACUAUUUUAUUAAGUGUAUACUUUGAAAGUAUAAAAAAGAAUUCUUUCUAAUAAUUU
rnacentral:tRNA from 1 species